UGUAGCACAAUGGAUAACGCGUUGGACUUCUAAUUCAAAAAGGUCGUGGGUCCGAAAUCCCACCUGGAAAG